UACGGAGGAUGCGAGCGUUAUCCGGAUUUACUGGGUGUAAAGGGAGCGCAGGCGGCACGGCAAGCCUGAUGUGAAAGCCCGCGGCCCAACCGCGGGACUGCACUGGGAACUACCGGGCUGGAGUGCCGGAGAGGUAGGCGGAAUUCCUAGUGUAGCGGUGAAAUGCGUAGAUAUUAGGAGGAACACCAGUGGCGAAGGCGGCCUACUGGACGGUGACUGACGCUGAGGCUCGAAAGCGUGGGGAGCAAACAGG
rnacentral:rRNA from 1 species